UGGCGCCUAGGUGAGAAUUUCCCCAUCCCUGCAGACGGAGCAUCGUCCCCGCUCAGCCGGAGUGGCUGCUUUCCUCAGGCCUUCACUGGUAGCAAGGAACAUGUGGAAAGACUUCUGGCAGAAAAACCUCUGCAGGUUGCAUGAGUACAGCAGAGCUUUUUCUAGAAACCUCCCAAGUGAUAUGAAUGGAUCUACAAAUUUGAGUUCCUUGUCCGCUUAAGGCCAAGCGAGGUUUGACAAUUGUAUUUCAUUAAACUUGAGAAUCAGCAGAGAAAAACAGGCUGCAAAACAUGAUACAGUAAGAACAAGCUGCUGGAAAACAUGAUAUGCCUAACAACUUGAACGAAAUGAACAUUACAAAAAUAUGAAUGAACAAAAUAAUAUAAAAUUAAUUCUGGAUGUGCAACCAAAGAAUGAAGUCAGCCAUGAGAAAAAGGCACAGAAAGUAGCAGGGUAAAUGAACAUAGUUUUUGUCUGAAUUAUUGCCCUCUAUUAAUGAAGGUAGAGAUUUGCACUGUUAUUUUAAAAACAGAAGACCUGCAUUUGUAGUCUCCAGCUGGAAUAUAUGCUUGCAACGAAGAAAAACCAAAUUUAAUCUCUCUAAUGAGACAUUGAUGAUAAUAAUUUGUAAUAAGUCAUUGUAUUCUGGAGCUAAUGGGAUUUGGACUUAUUGGAAUGUAUUUAAUGUAGUUUCACAGUAACAUAAGGAAGGUAAAACUAAACUCUUUUUAAGAAGGACUGAUUUUAUGUAGUCCUUUUAUUUAAAACCCUUCAGAUUGUACUUCUUGUGAAAUGAUUUAUUUCUAAUGAAUCUGCAUUAGGCAUCAGCUGCAGAACAUGACUUUGAGAUGUGAGCCCUAGACACUGCAAUUACUGUCUUGAGUCUCAUCUUGUCUCUGGGACUACGUUUAAAAUACAAAAAUAUGUUAAAUGAAAUUUAAAGUAUGGAGCUACAGUUAAGAAGAUUUUUUUGCCAAUUAGACUGUGCACAUUAGUCAAUAAUAAAUUUUAUUGCCUUUUAAUGGUUGGUUGGUUGGUUGGUUGGUUGGUUGGGGGUUUUUUGUUUUGUUGAUUUUGGUUUGGUUUGGUUUUUUGGUUGUU